rnacentral:lncRNA from 1 species
UAGCGGUAUCUACAACUGAAGAAGGUGUAGAAGGUGUAGUAGUGGUAUCUACUACCGAAGAAGUUGUAGUAGUGGUAUCUACUACCGAAGAAGUUGAAGUAGUGGUAUCUACUACCGAAGAAGUUGAAGUAGUGGUAUCUACUACCGAAGAAGUUGAAGUAGUGGUAUUUACUACCAAAGGUGUAGUAGUGGUAUUUACUACCAAAGGUAAAGGCACGUGCGCAGGGUAAGAUGAACCAUGUCCCAAGAAUUUAUUCACAUAGCAUCCAGCCUUUGCAUCACCUAUGCAUGAAGUGUGCUGUUUUUGUGACAUCAAUUUGUUUCUCUCUGCAACAUGAUGCUCCAUGUGAG